rnacentral:lncRNA from 10 species
GAUAGAGAGAGUAUCUGUAGAUUAAGACUUAGAAGAUAUAUCAACCAAGUAACCACUUACAAAACAUAGACUGGAUUUGGAUCCUGAAUUGAACACAUUUUCUUUUAAAGAGUCCUGAGGGCCAAGAUGGCAAACUGGUUCCACCAAGCCAAGCAAGCCCAAACCAUCGCUACCCAGGAUGGAAGCCUCAUUUCGCCAGGGCCACCCAUGAGGCAAGCGAAUGAAAUAUUCACCUGGACUCACCAUCAUCAACACUUCAAGAAAACUGUGGUUUGGAUGAUCAAAACCAUUUACCAUCCCAGCCAGCCUGCCCCCUUCCAAAAGAAAGAGCAUGUUUCAGCACCAACUCCUACAAAGAAGAGUGACUGCUUUAAAACAGGGACGGUCAGAUGGGCUAAUUUCCUGAAUGUUUCCCAAAUAUUUCUUUUCAUUUCUU